UACGGAGGGGCUAGCGUUGUUCGGAAUUACUGGGCGUAAAGCGCGCGUAGGCGGACCUGCAAGUCGGGUGUGAAAGCCCGGGCUCAACCCGGAACGGCACCCGAUACUCCAGGGCUGGAGACCGGGAGAGGAGGGUGGAAUAGCCAGUGUAGAGGUGAAUUCGUAGAUAUUGGCUGGAACACCGGUGGCGAAAGCGGCUCUCUGGUCCGGAUCUGACGCUGAGGCGCGAAAGCGUGGGAGCAACAGG
rnacentral:rRNA from 1 species